CCGAGAUAAUAACCAGCACUUCUAGAUAAAAGGAUCCAUGAACACAUGCCUCACGUCUACAAUUGCAGUACAUCUGAAAAUGUUGCAUCAGAGAUUAGGGCUGAGUUGCCUUUGAAGCGCACUAAGCUUUCGGCUGAGGAGGAAACAGGAUGUGAAAAUGACACAACGCUGCUGAUGAAUAUUGAUUCAUACAGAACAACAAAAUUACUGUGGCGCAACAUUUAUCGGUUGUGAGCGUCAACAUCAUGGAGGUGUUGUGUCCGUAGCUGCUUUGUGGCGAAGCCCGUCUGUGCUGCGUCCUCAACAGGGUUCUGAUUUUCAUCUCUCCACCAUCUCUCACCAACUGCACACACAGUGUAAAUUUGAUCCAUUUCGGACCGAUCUCUUUUGUUUCUGUGGACUCUGUCAGGCCGACCUCGUCUCUCCCCUCAUCUGUCAGGCCUUUCCGCAGACAGGACCUCUCAUUCAGAGUGCCUCUUUCCUCCCUUUGCCUGUCUUGAGGAGACUGGAUGUUGGUCUUCUGAGCCUCUUUCAGGUCUGUCAGAGACACCCCCUGCAGGACAUUCACUCAACUUCAUAUCUGUCAACUG